UGUUGAGUUUGGAGGGUCAAGUUGUGUGUGAAGGAGCACAGCCCAACUUCAUCACUGGACUGGCAGCGCUGUUUGCCUCCUUCUAUAACUUCAAUUUACAGUACCAGGAAGAGGCAGCAUGCACCCUUGAGUUUGUUCAGAAACGCUUUGUUGACAUCAAUCCUGAACGUGGAUCAAAAGCAAAAAAUGAAAAGUGACUUCAAAGAAAACUG